rnacentral:rRNA from 1 species
AUUGAACGCUGGCGGCAGGCCUAACACAUGCAAGUCGAACGAGUGGCGGACGGGUGAGUAAUUUCUGGGAAACUGCCUGAUUGAGGGGGAUACCUACUGGAAACGGUAUCUAAUACCGCAUACCAUCAGAUGUGCCCAGAUGGGCUUAGCUUUUGGGUGGGGUAACGGCUCACCAAGGCGACGAUCCCUAGCGGGUUUGAGAGGAUGACCAGCAAAACUGGAACUGAGACACGGUCCAUACUCCUACGGGAGGCAGCAGGGGGGAAUAUUGCACAAUGGGCGAAAGCCUGAUGCAGCCAUGCCGCGUGUAUGAAGAAGGCCUUCGGGUUGUAAAGUACUUUCAGCGGGGAGGCGUUACCCGCAGAAGAAGCACCGGCUAACUCCGUGCCAGCAGCCGCGGUAAUAC